AACAAGUGUGAUAUAGAGAGCUUCGGCUAGUAAAGCAAGGUAGAUUGAUUAGCAGAGCAUUUGGCCUCUAAGAGUCAAGCAAAGGUAAGCCAAUUCAACCCCUUUUUCCAUUCGUUCCUGUUUCUUUAAAAGAUAGCAACUGGACUGUUAGUGACUAGGUAGCAUGAAUGGCUGUUAUAUUGGAAUUAGUACAAUAUGAUGACUGUUGCUAUUAGCACUGCUGUGAUUGGGGCUGUUAUGUAUUGUCUUAUACUUGUUAUUGUUUAAGCUAUAAGGCUGGGACAAUAAGCUAAGAAAUUAUGUAUUUUAUGUAUAUAUAUGGACUGUACUCCACCUGUUUGAUAAAUUGCCAAGCUAGGGACUGAUUUAGUAGCUUUGUAUGCUAACUGUGAUUUAGAGUCAAAGAGGAUAUCAAUUAAAUCACAUAUUACUAUUAAUGUAUUAAGCAUGCUAAAAGGGUUGCAUAGGCAUAUGGUGAUAAGUUGGUUAGUAUUAACAUAUUAAUUAAGUAUUUAAUUAGUGGGAUGAUUUUAUACAUAAUUAUAAGUGUAUAAAUUACCAAAUUAUGUAUUUUUUUAUAAUACAUUUAACGUUAUAAUGAGGUAUGUGCAAGUGUGUGUAAGUAUUGAUAUGCUGAAAUUUGGUUAGUAUGAUGAAUGAGUAAGCUUUUAAGCCUAAGAGAGAUUUUUGCUAGGGUCAACUAGGAGGCAUAGGGGGCAGCUAGGAGCUUAUAUAUAGGUCAUGUAGGGGCUGCCUAGAGGCCAAUUAAUAGGGGCCAAGGAUGAUUAAGAAGCAUAUACACCAAACAUAAACUUCAACUCUCUCAUUCCUUAUCUAACCCAUUUUCGUUCCAUGCUCUUCUUUUCUAAUUACCCAAGUCUUCAUACUCCCAUAUUAAGACAUCAUCAAAUUUUUAAGGAAUUAGAGUUAGCAGCUGAAUUUGAAGAAGAGCGGAGUAAGAAGCUAUAAACAGAAGAAUUUAAUUCGACUAAGUACAAGCUUGAAGCAAAGGUUGAGUUAUAAUGUUAACGAAUUAAGAGGUAAGUUCUCAUCUACUUGAUAAAUUUAUGGAAUUCAAGUGGAUAAUAGUUAAUUAGUACGGUGAUUGGAUAAGGAAUUUAAGGUUGAUGCUAAAGUAGUUAGUUGCUUUUAAAUUGGGAUAGGUAAUAAUCAAUCAUGAAUCAUGCUAAUCUGUGUCUGGUAAUUGGCAAGGCCAAUUAUAUAUAAUGUUAGAUUGAUUGUGAUGAAAUAAGCAACUUACAUACUUCAUGUAUGGAAAUGAGUUAGAAUUGUAAUUGGGUUUGGAAAGUAAAGGAAUGGUUAUGAAAUCUACAUUUUAAAACAGCGCACAUAAGGUGUUCGCUAAAAAUCCUUUGUAGACUGUUUUUGCUAGAAACAAAGAAUUAAGCGAAACCCAGACUAAGGCUAUGCUUAUAUACACUAUACAUAAUUAAUUAGAGAGUUUGGGAAAAAAAUCAAAAUAGAACGAAAAGCAAUUUUAAGCCAAAACGAAAAAUCAAAAGAUAGUGUGUUGGGUCACUUUUCGGCUAAUUGUUUCGGUUAGUUAGACUUGCUGGAAAAUUAUAAUUUUCUGGGGUCCUGUAGUAUGCAAUCCCAGCUAGCCAUAGCCUUCGGAACGGACUAAUUUCGAGUUUGGACGACUUAGUUAAGACGUGCCAAAGUGGGUGCGUCAAAAUUGCCCAAAUCUGGAAAACAGAUCCGAAGCAGUCCCCUUGCAUGAAUUUUCUGGAAUUUUGUGUUACGAAUUUGAAAAUAGUCUAAAAAUAAAAGUUGUAGUCCCGGAAGUUAGCUUCGCGUGGGCUCAAGAAUCGCCUAAAAAUAUUUUAAAACGAAAAAGUUAUGACUGUUUUAGCGAGAGAGGGUGCAGCUGGGAAGAAAUUGAAACUGUUGUGAACGUCUACUUUUGACGCUUUAUUUGGGCUGCCUAAUGAACCCAAAUUGGGUGACUCGUAUUUUAAAAAAAAAUAAUCUCAUAUGCUAUAUAUAACAUAUUUAAAAUUGGUUUUAAUCUGGCAUAUGAGCUAGAAGUUAAAAUGUUAUAAAGUGGCCAUGAUGUCCAAAACGCUGCUGCCCAUAGCAGUAGGCAGCAGCAGCACGCUGCAGGGCGGAUGGCUGGGGGCUUCUUUAAUCUCUCAGUCAACGAGUUUAAAUGAUUCAAAUUGUUGAACUUGUAUGUUUCUAAAAUAGGUGAGUACAUCACCUAUAUAUAUAUAUAUAUAUAUAUAUAUAUAUUUAUAUAUCCAAAACUUAAUACAAAUUAAUCGAAGAUGUAAGAAAUUAAACUACGUGAAGUGAGGGUCAAGGAGUAAAGGGUUGUUGCCCAAUGGCAGCAGCAGGUGAUCCGAGUAACAGCAAAGUCUGUUUUGAAGAAUUAGUUUCAUGAUGUUGAGCUUGCUAAUUAAUUUGUAUAGAUUAACUUAAUAUUUUCUAUAAUAGGUGAGUAUAUCACUUAUACUAUCUCCAAAAUUCAUCAUAUAUGGAUCAAAAAUGUGGGAAAUAAGAUUGGUUAAGGCAAGAAACAAAGAAAAAGAGCCGUUGCUCAGCAGCAUCAAUAAGUAACAGCAGCAGAAGUGGGUAGAAACUAAUUGGGCCAAAGGUGGUUGCAUGUUUAGUUCACUAGUUUACCCGUAGUAGUUAACUUAUAAUUUUCUGAAAACAUUCUAGUGCAUAAGUUAUAAAAUACCUAAUGUUCUAUAUGAGUGUAUUAAUACUUUAAGAUGUAAAGGCUAGCAAAGGUGAGUAUCUGAACUUGGGACUGUUAAGCCAAGUGGUUAUUGUUAAUGCCUUAAAAGGGCUGUUUUGGCAUUAUAAUGAAACACCGGUAUAGUAAUAUAAAUAUAGUAUAAAGACUAUAUAUGGCGCAAACUUAUUCGUGAGCAAGAAAAGCGAUAAAAAUAUUAUGUAAACAUGAAAUUACAUAUAUUUGAUCAACCUGAAUUGAGAAAUGAAAUAUAAAAGGGUUAUGUAUUAAAAUAAAAUGCGCUAACCCAUUUAAACUAUAUUGAACAUCGAAAUUUGAAAGCGAAAGGUUUUAUAAAUUUAAAACUAAGACUAUGAACGCAGAAGCACAUAAUGACAUAUGUAUGAAAAUAAAAUACAUGGGAAGCACGAAUGUAAUUUAUUCACGAGUAAAUGUUGCGAAGCUACUAACAAGCGAGACAUUUGCGAACAUGGUGAUAGCAUGGUUUAGCACAUGGAUUAUUACGAAAACAUAAAAUUUUUCGAAAACUAAAGAAUAAUGAUAUGAGCUAUGUUUACACGAUAAAAACCAUCCAUAACCAUAUAGUCUCAAGUUUACAGAUAGAGACAAAAAAAUAUAUUCUUAAAAUGGAUUAUAGAUGGUUUAUGCUCUCAAACGUAAAGUAUUUAUAUACUAAAACCAUGAGAGAACCUUUUUGUGCAUAAAAAAGGUUAUAACAGACAAGUUUCUAAAGAAACGUGAAAUGGUUUUAAGACAAGAACAAAAAGAUUAUACUUAAAUGUAAAAUAAAAAUCAGUUUAUAUUAAGUAUGUGAAACUAAUGUGUGUAUGAAUAUAUACUCAAUUUGUGUAGGAUCAUCACUGAGCAGAUAAGUUAUAACAUUAAACAGCACUCAAGGCAAGUUUCUCAGUUUAUUUAUGUGGAUUUAUAAUUACUAUAGAUAACUGUUAGCAUGAUUUAUGUUUAUAAGUAUGUAAUACCUAUGAACUGCAUUAUUUGCUUUGUG
rnacentral:lncRNA from 1 species